rnacentral:rRNA from 1 species
AACGAACGCUGGCGGCAUGCCUAACACAUGCAAGUCGAACGAGACCUUCGGGUCUAGUGGCGCACGGGUGCGUAACGCGUGGGAACCUGCCCUUAGGUUCGGAAUAACUCCCCGAAAGGGGUGCUAAUACCGGUUAAUGUCUUCGGACCAAAGAUUUAUCGCCUUUGGGUGGGCCCGCGUUGGAUUAGCUAGUUGGUAGGGUAAAAGCCUACCAAGGCGACGAUCCAUAGCUGGUGUGAGAGGAUGAUCAGCCACACUGGGACUGAGACACGGCCCAGACUCCUACGGGAGGCAGCAGUGGGGAAUAUUGGACAAUGGGCGAAAGCGUGAUCCAGCAAUGCCGCGUGAGUGAUGAAGGCCUUAGGGUUGUAAAGCUCUUUUACCCGGGAUGAUAAUGACAGUACCGGGAGAAUAAGCUCCGGCUAACUCCGUG